rnacentral:tRNA from 1 species
GUGGAUGUGGCUCAGUGGCAGAGCGCUUGCCUCGCACAUGUGAGGCCCUGGGUUCAAUCCUCAGCACCACA